rnacentral:tRNA from 1 species
GGUUCCAUAGUGUAGCGGUUAGCACGUCUGCUUUACACGCAGAAGGUCCUGGGUUCGAGCCCCAGUGGAACCA